rnacentral:rRNA from 1 species
CACGCCCUAAACGAUGUCAACUAGUUGUCGGGUCUUUAUAGAUUUGGUAACGUAGCUAACGCGUGAAGUUGACCGCCUGGGGAGUACGGUCGCAAGAUUAAAACUCAAAGGAAUUGACGGGGACCCGCACAAGCGGUGGAUUAUGUGGAUUAAUUCGAUGCAACGCGAAAAACCUUACCUACCCUUGACAUGUAGUGAAUAUUCUAGAGAUAGAAUAGUGCCUUCGGGAACACUAACACAG